CCUGCCUCUGCCUCCCGAGUGCUGGGAUUAAAGGCGUGCGCUACCACCGCCCGGCUGUAUUUUGGAUCUUUUAAACAAAUCUAUAUACUGUAUUUUGAUAUUUAAAUGUUUUUAGAAAAGUUGUAAAAAUAGUACAAAGAUGCCUGUCGCUUCUACCUCUUUAACAACAUUUUACCAUGUCUGCUUUCUUUAGACAUGUUGAUCCUUGUUUUGUCUGUGAUUGAACCUAGGGCUCAAGCAUGUGAGGAAAGCACACCACUGAACUACAAGCUAAACUUUAUAAAGGCUCAACAAUUUCAGUUCACUUUAUGGGGCCUUGUCUGAACCAAUUAACUUCAAAUAUGACGAACAGAAUAAAACAGGCUGUUGGAGAAAGCUCAUACUGAGAUGAUCAUGAAAUGGGGGAAAUUACCAUGAAACUCUUUUCAUUUUGUAUAAUUCCCAAUAAAACCCAGAUAGGAGCUGGCAGUGGUGGAGAUGCUCAACAACAACAUGCUUGCCACACACCCAUCUGGACCUGAGUUCAAUCCUCCCAGACCCACAUUUAAAAAGCCAAGAGCACCUAUCACCCAGUGCAGACAGGAGCAGCCAUGAAACCUGCUCACCAGCAGUCCAGACAAAUCUGGGUGAGCAACUGAUGCCGAUCACUGGCUACGAACAGCACAAAGAGAACUUGUGUAGAUGACCACUCAAGUGACAGUGACAAACUCUACAAUAACUGAGAGUUUAGAGUAAUAAAAUCGAUUACAACUGUGCAACCAUAAAAGUUAAUGAUUUCAUUAAAUAGCUCUGGAAUGCUAUUUUGUUUUUAAUUCUUCCACUGGAAAAAUGUUUUGUGUGAUUAACAUAUUCAAAGCACCAUACAAAAGGCUGUGCUAUCAUGUCAAAACAAAUGUUUUAUUUUUACAAAAUAAAAUUUUCUAUUUUGCUAAGAUAA